UGAUUGAUAUUAUUUUGGACUGAAUCUACUGUGUUACCUAUCAUGGGACAGAUAGUCUCUACCCCUCUCUCUUUUACUCUUGACCACUAGCAAGGCCAAGAUGGUGGCGACUCCCUAGCCUCCACUUUGCUCAUCCCCCAGCUCCACAGAGAGGAGUCCUUCUCAGCUAACUGCUGUCUUUUAGGCCACAGCACCUGUCGAGACACUCGUUCUAAGACUCUUUUUCCUUGGGUGAGAGAUUCCCCUUUCAUUUUGAGCUCUCAGGAGUGCCAAAUUCAGUCUUUCUCUCUUUUUCUAGUGUAUCUCUUCCAGGGGUCAGUCUUUCGAGUUGUUGCCUGCUAGCAUAGGCUUCUUCCCCUCCUCCUUGGUCAUUUGCAGCCAGCUACAGUCCAGCAAGCUUGCUUGAAGUAGUGGGUCUGGGACCAUGCUUCCUACCAUCGCCCCUGUGUUCCUAAGACUCUCACUGUAGGACUUCUCCACUUGAGUGAAAUAUUUUCCUUUUUGUUUUGAGACAGUUUUCUUUCUCUUGGCUGAGAACUCUAAGCUGGGCCUGGAAAAACUGCUCCCAAAAGCUUCCAGCUCCAAGCCAUCCUCCACUGGUCUCUUUUCCAUGAUUCAAAAUCUCACUCCUUCUGACUCUGACUCUCCUACCAAGCCUCUAUGUUUCUUCCUCUAACUUUUUCUUCAAAGUUGGCCUUUCCUCUCCUUUUCUACAUUUAGGAUUUACCGGCUUUUUUUUUUUUUUUUUUAAAGGAAACGGUGAAUACAGAGGACCACUCUGCUGGAACACCCAGGUACCACGUGGCAGAACAGCCUCUGCAUGGCAUGGCAGGCCCCUCCCCCACUGCUUUUAAACUCGCCAUUGAGAUAGAUGCUGGGUUCCCGCAGACCAGACCCAAUUUGGACUUCAGCACGCCUGACGGUAGGGACCAUCCGAAGGUCUACCUCCAGACUCUAAUGGCAGGUCUCCAGCAAGGCUGCACGGCGCUCCACUAGUUUGACUAAGGAGCAUGUCCCCUGGCUUGGAUCUUAGAGUCCAACAGAACCACCUAUAACUCCAGUGCCAGGGAAUCUGAAGUCUGGUCUGCCUUUCUCAGUCACUGCCCUUAUGUGAAACAUUGACACACACAUGCAAGCAAGACACUUGUGCAUAUGGAAUAAAAGAGCACCAGGUAUGGUCUUUUCCAACACAUCUCAAGGUUACCAGUUCGGUGACGCCUGACCAGGACAGCAUCUUCUCACUUGAAACUGGUGUGGCACCCUCUGGUCUGCGGUCUCGUAGGCCCCCUUCAGGUGUUCCCAGACCUCACCCCGGACCACCUCAAGUGAUUUCAUGUGGAUGAACAAGGAUUUAGAAAGAACAGCGUCAGGAUUGUAUACUCCGCCUGUCUCAGGUACAUCCUGGAGGGAUGUGUACAGCUGUAAGAGAUUAUGCAGCGUGCAUCGGCUUGAGCAACGCCAUGAAUGAAGGGGAUGGAAAUAAUGUGAGAAGCAGAAGAAAGAAGGGAGUGUUGUACGGCAGUCUUCCAGGAGCGGCAUGGCUUGCAUUCAUGAGGUCACAGCAGCUCUGAUGGCCUACACAAGACCUGUACAAGAUUGCAACUUUGAUCUUCUUGCCUCCAGCUCCUGAGAGUUGGGAUUACAGGCAUGUGCCACCACACCUGGCUACACACAAACACU